rnacentral:lncRNA from 1 species
UAGCCCGCCAGUCUGAUAGGCAGCCUUUAAUCCUUCUAUGCCUUCUAUGCCACCUGUUGAGGUCUUUCUUCUGAAACAAAAAGAAGAAAUAGACAAAUCAGACUUGUCCUCUUGGAAAUGUGGUCCAGAUUUCUCUACUCCCAAGCUCCAAAAAA